ACUGUUUUCUUUCGUGGGUUUCAGAGUGAGGUCCCCAAGCAUACCCAUCCCCAACAUCAGCCCCAUCAGGACCUUGUUAGAAAUGCAAAUUAAUCAGGCUCCAGCCCAGAUCUACUGAAUCUGAAAGGGGCUGGCUGUUUGAACAAGGCUUCCUGGUGACUCUGGUACUCCCUGGAGUUUAAGAACCACAGUCACAGUCCACAGGCAGUGUUUCCCCGACUGGGACACUUGCCUCUCUUGCUACGGCCCUCCUGACAGACCAACUGGCUAGCAGUCCAUCCCACAGAGAAGAGG